CGGGAGGCAGCAGUGGGGAAUAUUGGACAAUGGGCGCAAGCCUGAUCCAGCCAUGCCGCGUGAGUGAUGAAGGCCUUAGGGUUGUAAAGCUCUUUUGUCCGGGACGAUAAUGACGGUACCGGAAGAAUAAGCCCCGGCUAACUUCGUGCCAGCAGCCGCGGUAAUACGAAGGGGGCUAGCGUUGCUCGGAAUCACUGGGCGUAAAGGGCGCGUAGGCGGCCAUUCAAGUCGGGGGUGAAAGCCUGUGGCUCAACCACAGAAUUGCCUUCG
rnacentral:rRNA from 2 species